rnacentral:lncRNA from 1 species
AAACAUUCUAAGAUUGAUCCAAUUAUUCCAGGUCUCAAGCAGUAGCCACCUCCAGUCUGAUACAAAGGAUUACUCCCUCCCCAGUGCCAGCUGGAGCCCCAUCAUGGUGAGGCUCUACAAUGAGUUCAUGGAGAAGACUGUGGAUGGGUCAUGGACAAGACUUCCAGGUUGUUGGUGCUCUGUGCAAUUCCUUAAAGAAGCAGACCUUACUAAGAUUGCUAAAGCUGUCCCUGCCAUCUUCUUACAAAUGAAGUGACGCAGAUGCAAGGUGCUGCAAGGCCCACCUCCUCCUGCUCUGACAGGCAGACAGGAAACCAAAGCCCC